rnacentral:rRNA from 1 species
AGUGAACGCUGGCGGUAGGCCUAACACAUGCAAGUCGAGCGGCAGCACAGUAAGAGCUUGCUCUUACGGGUGGCGAGUGGCGGACGGGUGAGGAAUACAUCGGAAUCUACUUUUUCGUGGGGGAUAACGUAGGGAAACUUACGCUAAUACCGCAUACGACCUACGGGUGAAAGCAGGGGAUCUUCGGACCUUGCGCGAUUGAAUGAGCCGAUGUCGGAUUAGCUAGUUGGCGGGGUAAAGGCCCACCAAGGCGACGAUCCGUAGCUGGUCUGAGAGGAUGAUCAGCCACACUGGAACUGAGACACGGUCCAGACUCCUACGGGAGGCAGCAGUGGGGAAUAUUGGACAAUGGGCGCAAGCCUGAUCCAGCCAUACCGCGUGGGAGAAGAAGGCCUUCGGGUUGUAAAGCCCUUUUGUUGGGAAAGAAAAGCAGCAGGUUAAUACCCCGCUGUUCUGACGGUACCCAAAGAAUAAGCACCGGCUAACUUCGUG